rnacentral:rRNA from 1 species
AAUAGAUACCCUGGUAGUCCACGCCGUAAACGAUGAGUGCUAAGUGUUGGGGGGUUUCCGCCCCUCAGUGCUGCAGCUAACGCAUUAAGCACUCCGCCUGGGGAGUACGGUCGCAAGACUGAAACUCAAAGGAAUUGACGGGGGCCCGCACAAGCGGUGGAGCAUGUGGUUUAAUUCGAAGCAACGCGAAGAACCUUACCAGGUCUUGACAUCCUGGUGACCACUAUGGAGACAUAGUUUCCCCUUCGGGGGCAACGGUGACAGGUGGCGCAUGGUUGUCGUCAGCUCGUGUCGUGAGAUGUUGGGUUAAGUCCCGCAACGAGCGCAACCCUUAUUCUUAGUUGCCAUCAUUCAGUUGGGCACUCUAAGGAGACUGCCGGUGAUAAACCGGAGGAAGGUGGGGAUGACGUCAAAUCAUCAUGCCCCUUAUGACCUGGGCUACACACGUGCUACAAUGGACGGUACAAACGGUUGCCAACCCGGCGAGGGGGAGCUAAUCCGAUAAAACCGUUCUCAGUUCGGAUUGUAGGCUGCAACUCGCCUAC